rnacentral:tRNA from 1 species
GGAGGGUAUAGCUCAGUGGUAGAGCACAUGUUUAUUAUGCAUGAGACCCUGGGUUCAAUCCCCAGUACCUCCA